UUUUUAUGCAAAAUAUAAGUAAAAUAUAAGUAAAAGAUAAGCAAAUGUACAAUUUGGUUUUGAUUAACCUAUGCGUUUUUUUAGUAUUUGGUCAAACCACGAAUUAACUUGUUUCCAAAAACAAAUUAGAAAAAUUUCUGACUUUGGUUUGGCAUGGUCUACAGCAGAGGGCAGAGAAUCGAUCAGGACAAAGUGUUUUGGAACAGCUGGUUACAUUGCACCAAAAUAAGCAUGUAAGAUUCUUCUUUAAUAUGUCAAUAUUUACAUCUGAUCACCAAUAUAUUUGAUUUAUGACUCCUCUUUGUAAUUACAGUGACUAACUACAAAAGCUGAUGUCUAUAGCUUUAAGGUACUUCUCAUGGAAUUAGUACCAGCCAUCAAGCUAUUAUAUGAAGAUGAUCAUCACAUUCCCAGUUGGUUCACGAAAGUAUUCAUCGACAAAGACUCAUUCGAAAAAGCCAUUAACAAAACCAUGGACCUUAACUAGAAGACCGCAUCAUCAUUAAUGAUUGACUAAAUAAAGAUAUUAUUUAAUCUAAAUGAUAUAUAAUAUA
rnacentral:sRNA from 1 species